rnacentral:rRNA from 1 species
UACGGAGGGGGCUAGCGUUGUUCGGAAUUACUGGGCGUAAAGCGCACGUAGGCGGACUGGAAAGUCAGGGGUGAAAUCCCGGGGCUCAACCCCGGAACUGCCUUUGAAACUCCCGGUCUUGAGGUCGAGAGAGGUGAGUGGAAUUCCGAGUGUAGAGGUGAAAUUCGUAGAGAUUCGGUGGAACACCAGUGGCGAAGGCGGCUCACUGGCUCGAUACUGACGAUGAGGUGCGAAAGAGUGGGGAGCAAACAGG